UUUUCAUCUCCAAUGAGAGACAACAAAUGCUGAAAUGGCUGUUUACGUAAAGUAAGGAAUUGGGUGAUUGACAAUGUGGUUCAUCUCACAUUUUGUGACUGAACUAAUCCAGUAAAUUCCUACCAGACGGUACACAACUCAGCAGAGACCUCUCUAUUCCAGGUGGACUUUUAUCUCCCAAAAUAUAUAUGUUUUUCGAUCUGCAACUCUAAAAACAAACGAACAGAGUAUAAUUAAGUGUGUCUCAAUAUGGUGCCAGCGUUGAAAUUGGAUCACCUCACUGGAACGAUUGAUCUCUUGCCAAGUUCAAUAAUUAAUUGACUACUUCACUGCCACACAACUAUCUCAGAACGUAAUUCUUCACCUACAACGUG